UACGUAGGUGGCAAGCGUUGUCCGGAAUUACUGGGUGUAAAGGGUGCGCAGGCGGGAAUGCAAGUCAGCUGUGAAAACUAUGGGCUUAACCCAUAGAGUGCAGUUGAAACUGUAUUUCUUGAGUGAAGUAGAGGUAGGCGGAAUUCCUAGUGUAGCGGUGAAAUGCGUAGAUAUUAGGAGGAACACCAGUGGCGAAGGCGGCCUACUGGGCUUUAACUGACGCUGAGGCACAAAAGUGUGGGGAGCAAACAGG
rnacentral:rRNA from 1 species